rnacentral:lncRNA from 1 species
AAAAAAGAAGCGACAGCAAUAAUACUCAGAGAAUCUCCUUCAUUCACCCCAAUAAACAGGUACAGAAUGGCUCCAACAGUCAGAGGUUGCCAGGCUGAAGUGCAACAAUCUCCACUACCAGAAAAGAGGUGCAGAAUAAAGAAGCCAUUCCAUUGAAGUGAGUGG